UACGUAGGGGUGCGAGCGUUAAUCGGAAUUACUGGGGCGUAAAGGGGUGCGCAGGCGGGCGUCGCAAGUCAGGGCGUGAAAUCCCCCGGGCUUAACCUGGGAACUGCACUUGAAACUACGAUGCUGGAGUAUGGCAGAGGGAGGUGGAAUUCCACGUGUAGCGGUGAAAUGCGUAGAGAUGUGGAGGAACACCAAUGGCGAAGGCAGCCUCCUGGGCCAAUACUGACGCUCAUGCACGAAAGCGUGGGGAGCAAACAG
rnacentral:rRNA from 1 species